CUGCCUGCUUUGCCUUUCACUGGUUACUGCACCCCCAGCCAGGUCCCAGGCCCCGGAGCUUCUAUCCAGCCAGCCAGAGGUGAAAACCGGGCCAGGACGGUGACACAGCGGGUUGAUAAUGAACCUAUCACACCUGUGUGAUGUCAGGUUAACACCAAAAUCAGCAUCCACCCUACGACCGCGGCUGUACAGGGGAGCCACAGGGCCCUGCAGGAGGCCUCGGACUCCUCCAGACCUCAAUUUCCCCUCUCAGCAAGUGGGGGCCAAGCAGCUGGUCCUGAGGUCUCGCACUCCUCCCAGGAAGAAAGCCACAUCACAUCCGCUGCCCUUUCUGUCUCGGGGCCCAGUGGCAGGCCUACCCUGGGAGCCACACCGGCAGGAGGAGGGAGGAGCCAGGAAAUCCGGGCGGGGUGGCGCCCACCCCCAGCCCCGGGCCAGGCGCCGGAGGGGGCGCCGGCUGCCCCAGAAACACGCUCCAGAUGCGAGAGGCGCUGCCAGCAUUCCUGGAAGGAGGUGGUCUCAUGAAGAAGUUAAAAGCAUGGCUUCUGGAGUCAGCUCUAUCUACUACUUGCUGGCUGUGUGACCUUUGACACGAUGGAGCUGCCCUCCUGCCGGUCUGCAUCCAUCCAUGACACACGUGGUUCUCGCCGGCCUGGGAAGCUGCCAGAAUCAAUGUGAGCAAGGUUCCUACUCAGGUGACUUAGUGCUGAAGAAUCCACCUGCAAUGCAGGAGAUGUAGGUUCGAUCCCUGGGUCAAGAAGAUCCCCUGGAGGAAGAAAUGGCAACCCGCCCCAGUAUUCUUGCCCAGAGAAUCCCAAGGACAGAGGAGCCUAGUGGGUUACAGUCCACCGGGUUGCAGAGCUGGACGCGACUGAGUGACUGAGCAGGCACAAGGUUCCUACGCAGUCAGGGGAGGGGCUGCUCACACCGGACAUCUGGCAUCUCCAUGACAACCCCAGACACAGGCGCCGUGGUUAGGCCUGUUCUGUAAGUGAGGACACGGAGGCUCAGAGGCAGGACUACCUCGCCUGGGUCACAGUGCUGGUUUGCGGCAGGGGAGGACUCGGUCCCAGGCUUGGGUGACCUUAAAGCCUGGGCAUUAACUGCACUGACUCAGCACUCCCAGAAGCUUCUGGCCCGAGAGCUUCGCCCUCUCCAUCCCGGCCAUCCUGCAUGUUGCUGCCCAAGAACGAUGCUCACGAGCCUCCCCUGCUCAGCCACCUUCAGAGGCUCCCCAGCACCCACAGAAAAAAACCACAAACCCCCUGUACAGGCCUCUCCAUCUCUGACUUCCAACAUCACACCUGCAGUCCACUCACUCGUCACAAGCUGAGUGCCGGGGUCCGUAGAGCCUGGAUUACACACCCGCCCCAGCAGGCCAGCUGUCCCCGCCACAGGGCCUCUGUGAGCUGCCCCUCUGUCUGGAAGCUGUUCUCCCCCCACGCCCCGUGGCAUGCGUGACCCCCCUCCUGGGAGAGGCCAGCCUGUUCGCUCCAGGCAGCGCUCCUCACCCCCACCGCACCCCAGUGUCUUCUCUACCACACACUUCUCACUACUGGCAGGGCAUUCCUGUGGCAUCGAUUUAUGUUUAAUGUUUUGAGGCCUCCGAUCGGAUGGUGAGGGCAGGGCCUUGCCUGUCUUGCUUCCUGCUGCACCCCUGUGCCAGCACAUGGCCAGCAGGCAGGACAUGCUGAGUGAGUUAGUGAACGAGUUCCCUUCUCCCAGGGCUCCUCACAGAGCCAGCAUGUAUCCGGAGUCUUGACUGGCCUGAAAUAACCCCCCUGCUAUGUUCUCUGCCUACGCUUAUCCUCCGCGACUCUGAGUUUCCUUCAAGUUGGCCCAGCAACCCCUGACUCUGGCCCCAACCUGCAAGUUCUCCUCCAGGACAGGAUGCUGUCCGGAGGCUCCUCAGUCGUGCAGACAUCCCCAAACUUGCCUGUGUGGUUCCUGCCACCUCAAUCACCCUUUCCAGCCACCUGCACAUCCCGCAAGAGCCCUUCAAGUAUUCCCUCCCUUGCAAGGUAGAGCUGAUCACAUCCCCUUUGACACUUCUGUCCUGUGGACACACACCCACCAUGAGGGCCUUAUGCAUUUGCCUUCACUGAUCAUGAUGAGGCUGCAUGUAUACAGCAGGUGCUCACGACACCAUUAGAGCAUAACCCACCAUCUCCUCAUCCUUCACAACAUAUAGGCCUCCCUGACUGGACAGGAAUGCCCUGAUGGCAGGGGCUCUUCUGUUCAUUGCUACAUCCUCAGUACAAAAUCCGAUGCCUGUCAAAUGGAUGGAUGGACCAAGGCACAGAUGGAUGAUCAGGUGGAUGCAUGGAUGGAUGAAAGGAAGGAAAAAAUGGAUGGAUGGACUGGCGGAGGGAUGCCCAGAAGGAAAACAAGAUAAAUGGAUGGAUGAAUGCCACGAGGAACCAGAACCAACCACAGAAAAUCUCUGUGAGGAUGACCGGAGACUGCGUUCCCACACGACUGAUGCAGCGCAGCUGCCAACAGCCUGCUGACCUCCGCCCUGGGAGCCUGUGAGCCUGAGCUGCCUGUGGACGCCGGUCUUCCCACUCCCAGCCAAAGGGCUCCUCCGACACCCCCCCCGCUCCUGUGAGAACCCCAGCUCAGAGUCAGAGCCCAGAAGAUGACCUUCAAGGUCGUGUGGCCCCCUGGAGGGCGCUCUGUGUGGCUGAGGGCCCAGGCCCUGGGCUCCCCAGGCCUGAGGGGUGUCUUCCUCACACGGCAGGACCUGCUGCGCUGACCAAUGCAUUCGGGGUGGGUGGAGAACCAUGCGCAGCAGCCGCGGCCCCAGGACCCUUCUGGAAACGCACUCUACGGGCGUUAAGAGCAGUGAACACGCAGGAAGACAUUAUUUACAACAGUGGGGGAAACAGUGUCAAUGUCCGACAACAAGGGGUAAUCACUGAUGCCCAGACGCACCCUCCACACACUGCUGAGCACCCUCCGCCACCACCUGUGGGUGCCGGCACCUCUCACGGGCAUCUGUGGGGCAGUGUGCCACCGAGUACCAGGCACGGACCCAAGCAGCAGACGUGCUCUUCUCACGGUUCUGGAGGCUGGCAGUGGAGACCACGGUGGUCAGCAGGCUCGGCUCCUUCUAAGCCUCGCUCCUCGGCGUGCAGACAGCGUUCUCUCCCUGCGUCUUCACGUGCUCUUCCUCUGUGCAUGUCUGUGUCCUGAUUUCCUCUUCAUACAAGGACACCAGACCUGUUGGAUCAGGCCCCACCCUAAUGACCUCAUUUCACCUUAAUCGCCUCUGUGAAGACCCUGUCUGCAAGUACGGCCCCAGUCUAAGGUGCUAGGGUUAGCACGUCAAUAUAGGACCUGGAGGUGUGUGUGCGCGCGCGUGUGUGUACACAAUUCAGCCCAUGACAGGCACCCUCACCAAAUGAAAGCCGUUAGAGAGGCCGUGUUUCAAGUGACGCCAGCACCACAGUGACACAGAAGUUUUCAGCCCCCUGUUGCAUGAGACUCAAGAGUUCAAAGAUCUCACUGGCUCCCAGGACAGAAGUCCUGACUGAAACAUACCACACUUGACGGCAUGAAAGCGAAGGAAAGGGCCUGGGGCAGCGCCCGGCUCCAAGUCUCCGGAGCUGAGUGCCCUGGACAGGCCGCCCACACCCAUCUCGCAGGCGGCUCAGUGUCAGAGGCCGAGCUCCUCGGGGCAGCCGGCAGGGGUGCCUGGUCUAUGCCCCUCCACCCUCACGACCAUCCUCAGGCUAGAUGGUGACGACCAGCUCCACACUGGAUAACGAGUUAUCACCCGUAAAGGCCUUGUAAGGCAGACCCCUCCAGGUCUCACAGCCCCAGGGAUCUGUGGAGGUUUCACAGAUGGUGGAAAUGAGGCUCAGAUACAGCCAGUGGCCUGUCCUAGGUCACACAACACGGAAGUGGCAAAAUCGUCUGCCUGACAUUCAGCACUAAGACAAACGGAGACAGCAUUAAAGUGUGCUUCCAUUGGAAGGGGUCCUAUCACGCUGUGAACAGUCGCACCAGCGAUCCAAGGCCUCUUCCAGUCUGGACUUACAUGGACAUAUUUGUUUAAGUCUGUAAUCAAGACACGUUUACAAUUCUGUGUUCUGUUUAUUUUGACUCAGCGUUAGAUCAUCAGCUUCUCUGUGCUCAAAUGGGCUCUGUGUACCCCAUUUUAAAGCCACAGAAUAUUCCACCCGCAGGGAUACGUAACAGUGUACCUAACUGUAUCUUGCUGUUGGAUGUUCAUAAUUCCCCCAUUAUAAAUAACAGU